rnacentral:rRNA from 1 species
AGCAGCCGCGGUAAUUCCAGCUCCAAUAGCGUAUAUUAAAGUUGUUGCAGUUAAAAAGCUCGUAGUUGGAUCUCGGGCACCAGCACGUGGUACGCUUGAUUGCUGUUACUACGUGUCUGGUCCUAAUUCGCCAGUUGGCUGUUGAUGCCCUUCACUGGGUGUCUUCAGUAGCUGGCACGUUUACUUUGAGAAAAU